CAAAUAUGUCGAGUAUUUCAUAAGGACUUCAGCUCUUGCUUGGCUAUCAGCUCAAUGUUUUUUUCUCUUUGUUAAUAAUGUCUGUUUUCAUUACAGGAUUUCCAGAAAAUUGGUGGGUAUGUGUGCCACACAAGUCCACAGAGCCCUGAGAUUGCAGCUGUACUUGUAAUUUUGUACAUCACUUUUUGAUGACUAUAUCACAUGGCACGUGGAUUACGCAGAUCAGUAGUAGUGGAUGGAGGCUGAGGGGAUAAGAUGGGGAAAGGCACUGCAGCAGCCCUCCAGGACUUGUGUCACUUCUUCAGCGAUGAACUUUCACCAUUUCCUUUAAUUAUUGUGACUGUUAUGUUUCUGCAUUUGAAAACUUUUGACAACACAAAAAAUAAACAAGGACAACAAUUGCUGUAUG